rnacentral:rRNA from 1 species
AGAGUUUGAUCCUGGCUCAGGAUGAACGCUAGCGGCAGGCUUAAUACAUGCAAGUCGAGGGGCAGCGCAGUGUAGCAAUACAUGGGCGGCGACCGGCAAACGGGUGCGGAACACGUACGCAAUCUACCCAAAACUGGUGAAUAGCCCUCCGAAAGGAGGAUUAAUACACCGUAACCUGGUUGAGUGGCAUCACUUUAUCAGUAUAGCUCCGGCGGUUUUGGAUGAGCGUGCGCCUGAUUAGGUAGUUGGCGGGGUAACGGCCCACCAAGCCAUCGAUCAGUAACUGGUGUGAGAGCACGACCAGUCACACGGGCACUGAGACACGGGCCCGACUCCUACGGGAGGCAGCAGUAAGGAAUAUUGGUCAAUGGACGCAAGUCUGAACCAGCCAUGCCGCGUGAAGGGUGAAGGUCCUCUGGAUUGUAGACUUCUUUUAUCUGGGACGAAACCCAGGGAUUCUUCCCUGAUUGACGGUACCAGAGGAAUAAGCACCGGCUAACUCCGUGCCAGCAGCCGCGGUAAUACGGAGGGUGCAAGCGUUAUCCGGAUUCACUGGGUUUAAAGGGUGCGUAGGAGGGCAGGGAAGUCAGUGGUGAAAUCUCCGGGCUUAACUCGGAACUGCCGUUGAUACUCUCUGUCUUGAAUAUUGUGGAGGUGAGCGGAAUAUGUCAUGUAGCGGUGAAAUGCUUAGAUAUGACAUAGAACACCAAUUGCGAAGGCAGCUCGCUACACAUAUAUUGACUCUGAGGCACGAAAGCGUGGGGAUCAAACAGGAUUAGAUACCCUAGUAGUCC